rnacentral:ncRNA from 1 species
UUCUUCGGGGCAGGGUGAAAUUCCCUACCGGCGGUACAGCCCGCGAACGAUCCUCGGAAUGACCGAUGGAUCGCCGACCCGGUGUGAUUCCGGGGCCGACAGUAUAGUCUGGAUGAGAGAAGGA